AGCUGCUAACCAGGCCUUA
rnacentral:piRNA from 1 species